rnacentral:rRNA from 1 species
UGACGCAGCAUGCCGCGUGCGGGACGAAGGCCCUAGGGUCGUAAACCGCUUUCAGUAGGGACGAAAAUGACGGUACCUGCAGAAGAAGCUCCGGCCAACUACGUGCCAGCAGCCGCGGUGAUACGUAGGGAGCAAGCGUUGUCCGGAAUUACUGGGCGUAAAGGGCUCGUAGGUGGUUGAGUAAGUCAGAUGUGAAAUCUCAGGGCCCAACCCUGAGCGUGCAUUUGAUACUGCUCUGACUAGAGUCCGGUAGGGGAGUGCGGAAUUCCUGGUGUAGCGGUGAAAUGCGCAGAUAUCAGGAGGAACACCGACAGCGAAGGCAGCACUCUGGGCCGGUACUGACACUGAGGAGCGAAAGCAUGGGUAGCAAACAGGAUUAGAUACCCUGGUAGUCCAUGCCGUAAACGUUGGGCACUAGGUGUGGGGAGAACUCAACUCUCUCCGCGCCGUAGCUAACGCAUUAAGUGCCCCGCCUGGGGAGUACGGCCGCAAGGCUAAAACU